rnacentral:rRNA from 1 species
UAAUACGUAGGUGGCAAGCGUUGUCCGGAUUUACUGGGCGUAAAGCGCGCGCAGGCGGGCUGGUCAGUCUGGGGUGAAAUCUCACGGCUCAACCGUGAGAGGUCCCUGGAUACUGCUAGCCUUGAGGGGCUCAGAGGAGAGUGGAAUUCCGGGUGUAGUGGUGGAAUGCGUAGAUAUCCGGAGGAACACCAGUGGCGAAAGCGGCUCUCUGGGGGCAACCUGACGCUGAGGCGCGAAAGCGUGGGGAGCGAACCGGAUUAGAUACCCGGGUAGUCCACGCCGUAAACGAUGAGUACUAGUUGUCGGGGGUAUCGACCCCCUCGGUAACGAAGCUAACGCGAUAAGUACUCCGCCUGGGGACUACGACCGCAAGGUUA